UUUUCCCAUCAUUUACUUUAAACGAUGAAGGGAUUUGUCCAUAUUAUCAUAAGUAUAAAAUUCCAUCUGUGUAUGUAAUUCUUCUUGAUGUGUUUCUUAGUUAAGUUAUUUAAACAGCUUAAAAAAAUCUUUAAAUGUUUCAGGUCUAGAAGGUGUUAUUGUGGGUUCUCAUGGCAAAUCAGCAACUUAUAACUCCUUUUACAUUUGCAGACAGUGGUUCUGACUUAUGUGAAUGUAGCUCCAGGCUAUGCUCAUGGAUAUAUAAAACCAACCAACCAACCAAACAAAACAGAACAAAACAACAACAACAAAAAGCAAUAUAUUUAAACUGCACAAUUUGAUGCAUUUUUCAAACAGAAAAAUACUGUGCAUGGUAAGCAUGGAAAGCAUUGAAGAGCUUGUAGAUGGAUAGGUAUAAAGGUCUCUAGGGCCUUUAGCUACCAAGCCCAGGCUAAUUCCAGGUCCUGGAGUGAGUUGUAGUCAGUCCACUGUAGAGAGUCUAACAAUGAGUAGGAUGCAAGCAGUCUGUACCAAAUGAACUGCAAAAAAAGGAGAUCUUCCUGUGGAUAUUGCAAAGAAAAUACAGAUGGAGCCAAAGAAUCUAAAAAUCAGUGCAAAACAGGACUAUUUAUUUAAGCAAAACAGGUUUAAGAAAGAUUUCCUGAAGUUCUGCUAAGAUAAUACUUCAGUGAUUUCAGACUGCCUUUAAUGAUCCUGACAAGAAGAGCAGGGAUUUACUUCUCUCACGUUACACAGUGGACUUGCCUGAAGAGAAUUUACAAGACUUGUAAAUGUAAGUACUAUUCUUUAUUAGUAAAUGAGUUGAAGAGCUGGACUUGUUUUUUAUUCAGUCUUAACAAGAAGUUGUGAAAGAUGUGUCACUCACACAUGUUGGAAAACAUUCACUCCUUGACACCUUAGCUUUUUCUUCCAAAAUUUCUUAAGUAGAACACUGAGGUGUGGACUGUGUGGGGGGGAGGGGGGGAGGGGAGCAGUAAUAGACUGUGCUGUGAGAAACAAAGUUGUGUUUUUGCAAUAGAAGGUGUUUUUGCAGUGGAAAAUUCCACUAACCUUGCAUAUUCAAAAGUGAUUGUGUAGCAUAGCAGUGGGGAGUAUGUUAAGCAGAUAAGGGAAAGGUCUCACUGUCCCAAAAUAAAGAGGAUAGCUAAAAAAAAACAUGAUGAGCAGUACAAAAUCAGUAAAAACAAAAAUCAUGAGCCCUCUAGUCAUGAGAGAAGGAAAAAAAGGAAAAGGAGAAAUUAACAGUUGGUCAAAUUAAGUUGUACAUACAGAAGUGCAUUGAGAAGGUUGUGAACCUGUAGUACUCAGACAAUGAGGAAACGGGGGAAAUAAGGUGUCAGGUAAUAGGGAAUAUGAAGUUACGAUAAACUUUUACUGUGUGCUCCUGCUAGCAGGACGCCUGCCAUUGCAAUUGUGAAUAAAAUAGCUUCACAGAAGGUCGUGUCUGAAUAAAAUUGUUGAGAUUUUUCUCACAGUGCCACAACUUUAUAUAGUGUUCAGUAGACAUGUUUAUUUUGCUAGCCAUUUUCACAGCCAUGAAACGUUGUGAAGGUAGUAUCUACAUUUCAUCUAAAAAAAAUAAAAAAU